AAUUCUGCAAGGGACAAAGGGUUAUGUUGGUGACAGAGACUCUGAGAACAAGGAGAAGGUGUGCACGGUGCUGUGGGGCUCCACCCGCUCCACCCCGGGAGGACCCACGGGACUGUGAGGAUCCUCACGGAGGCACACUCCUACUCAAAAUCUUCCAUACAUUCCCCACUGAGAGUGGCUGGGGUCUGAGUUCCUCGGCCUUGGGUUCAGAGCCCCCAUCAUCAGCCUCGAUCUUUCCAGCUCCCAUGGUCUACUCUAUGCUACUUCAGCCUGACCCUUUGGCUCAGCCAUGGCUUCUGGAACUCACUGAGGAGGCACAGUGAGAGGCGCAGCUGACUUGAAGUGCACCGCAUUGCUGUUUAACCAAGUAAGGGGAAGAUGGCCACUCCAAAAAGUCAUGUUUGCAAGGUGCUCCCAAACCAGGG